UACAGAGGGUGCGAGCGUUAAUCGGAGUUACUGGGCGUAAAGGGCGCGUAGGCGGUUGUAUGAGUGUGAUGUGAAAGCCCCGGGCUUAACCUGGGAAGCGCAUCGCAAACGAUAUGACUGGAGUAGAUGAGAGGGUGGCGGAAUUUCCGGUGUAGCGGUGAAAUGCGUAGAGAUCGGAAGGAACGUCGAUGGCGAAGGCAGCCACCUGGCAUCAUACUGACGCUGAGGCGCGAAAGCGUGGGGAGCGAACAGG
rnacentral:rRNA from 1 species